rnacentral:lncRNA from 1 species
AUGGAUAGGAAGAAGAAACAAUGGUGCUUUAAGCCAUUUAGCCUCACUGAUUCAGGAGAGAGGGGGCAACAAGAAGAAAAUGUUGAUUUUCUGCCUAGAACAAUAAAUAGUCAGCUCUCCCUGUCAGCUGUAUUAGUUGCUUUAAUGCAAGUACCUGUUCCAUCAGAUGACCUUGCUUCACUAAUGCCUGUGGUCUGCAACAAGCUACAGUAUUAAAGCUGUAAACCUGGCCAAGUCUGAGUGUAUGUCAGAUUUACACAGCCUUGUCAAAACCAUAAAGUUAACAGGCUGGAGAAGAAGAAAUCUUCAUACCUGCAUAAUCUUGCUAUGUGGAGAUCUGACAGAGUAGAAAACAAUACUUACAUUAACAGACAUUAUUUUUGCUGAGACUGUCUCUUUAAUAAUUAAUUCCAGCUGAUAGAAGAAGGCAUUCCAAGCCUGGAACCAUCUUUCUUGUACUCAGGUCUGCUGUCAUUACUUUUCUCUUGAUGUUGGAUUACGGAGUAGUUAAAAAUUGGAAAGAAAUAAAAAAUGGUAAAAGAGCCA